rnacentral:rRNA from 1 species
CAGCCGCCGCGGUAAUACCGGCGGCCCGAGUGGCGGUCACUAUUAUUGGGCUUAAAGCGUCCGUAGCCGGGGUGGGAAGUCCUCCGGGAAAUCUGGCCGCUUAAAGGUCAGAAUGCCGGAGGAUACUCCCAGCCUAGGGAGCGGGAGAGGCCGAGGGUAUUCCCGGAGUAGGGGUGAAAUCCUAUAAUCCCGGGAGGACCACCUGUGGCGAAGGCGCUCGGCUGGAACGCGUCCGACGGUGAGGGACGAAGGCCAGGGGAGCAAACCGGAUUAGAUACCCGGGUAGUCCUGGCUGUAAACGAUGCGGACUUUGUGUCGGACAAGCUAUGAGCUUGUCCGGUGCCGGAGGGAAACCGUUAAGUCCGCCGCCUGGGGAGUACGGCCGCAAGGCUGAAACUUAAAGGAAUUGGCGGG